UACAGAGGUCUCGAGCGUUAGGCGGAAUCACUGGGCUUAAAGCGUGUGUAGGCGGACUGGUAAGUACCUUGUGAAAUCCCACGGCUCAACCGUGGAACUGCUUGGUAUACUGCUUGUCUUGUGCAACCUAGGGGCGAGCGGAACAGAUGGUGGAGCGGUGAAAUGCGUAGAUAUCAUCUGGAACGCCAAUGGUGAAAACAGCUCGCUGGGGGUUGUCAGACGCUG
rnacentral:rRNA from 1 species